UAUUAUUUAGGUAACAUAUCGUAAAAAUAAAUUCCCAUAUAGGGAAAGAUAUUUUUCUUCUAAUUCCCAGUUUCAGCUUCCACCAUAGCUUUUGUCUUGCCACCACCAUACCCAUGCUUUCCAUGGUGUCUGUGUUUGUGCCCCUUUCUGUGUCCGUGCCCGUGCUUAUGUCCAUGUUUGUGCCCGUGUCCAUACCCUUUUCCUGCUGGGAAGCUGUUUACAUCUGUUUUUACACUGUCUUCUACAUAAAUUAAUAAAAAAAAAAAUAGUGUCAAUGCUUUUUUUGUGUAAAUAUUAAAAACAUGUUAAAUUUCUAAUGAUAUUUUCCAAGAAAAAGAAAGACAUAUGAACAUAAAAAUAUUUAAUCAAAUAAAUAUUAAGAAGAAAAAAAAAACUCACGAAUUUGAUGAACUGCCUCUGUAAAUUCAUGAGCAAAAACUUCAGAAGAGAUGAGAAGAACAGCAAAGGUAAGUCCAAC
rnacentral:lncRNA from 1 species